CUCUGAAUGGGUGUUAUAUGUCGCCUGCAUUCUCGAUAGUGUGUUACAAAAAUUGGAAGGCUGAAAGGCACGCUGUUUCCUUGUGCUUUCCUGCAGAAUGUAAAAGCGCACAUAAGGAAGCAGGUCCGAGCAGCAGAUUUUACCAUGUAUUCA
rnacentral:lncRNA from 1 species